GCGUGUUUGGCGUAGCGGCAUUGGGAGGAGCACUUCGCCGGUGCCGUCGUAAAUCGAAGUGGUCCCGGGUUCGAUUCCCGGGACCAGCG